ACCCUCUCAGGGUCGCACCCGGAGAGUUUCCACUACUCUACCAGCCUCGAUUAAGGGAGGGAGGGUCAAGCAGAGGCCUGCCCAUUCCAUUCCUAGCUUGGCCAGUGGCUGGCGAGUGGAAAGCCAUCUGCUACAAGU
rfam:Ornithorhynchus anatinus chromosome 1, whole genome shotgun sequence.